GGCCCGGAGCGGGGAGCGGGCGGACGAAGAGUCUCCGUGUCCCGGCUGCUGCGGCUCCUCGCUCCGGGGACAGGGAGAUGGGGGUCGGCGGAGUAGGGAGAUCACGGGGAAUGGAAGAGGAGGGAGAUGGAGCAGGGAGAUUAUGAGGGACGGAGGAGCAGAGGGGAGAUGGCGUCCGCGGAGGUGCCUCAGCCCCGGGUGUUCCCGCUCUCCCGCUUCUGAGGCUGCGCUUCGCGAGGGAGGAACUUCUAAAAAUUAUUUCGUGCAUAGAGAAGUCGGAGAUCAGGCAGUCUCCUGCCUGAGGUAAAAAAGAAGAUCUCAGCUGACAGGAUUUGGGGUGCAGCUUUCAGGAGGUUCAGCGAAAUCACAGAACUGUCACAGUACCAGGCCUCACUCAGGCCAGUUCGGUUUUCCCUCAGGAUCUUCCUGGCAGAGGUCAAGGGUAACAAUUUCCACCCAAAAACACAGGAACUCACCCCAGAACAGGACAGUGGAAGAGGUAAUGGCCGCCUCAGGCUGGUUCCAGGCAGGGACAGAGGAGAGAUGCAGCUGACCCAGGAGUCGAUCAGCCCAGUCCCCUUGUAAAUUGGCAGUAAAGAACAGUGUGAGAGACUCCUGAAAAUCCAGGCUUGGAACUGCUGUUCUAAUGUUGGCUGAACUAAGACAGGGCUCCAUUUUGCAAUCAACCUCUCUCUGCUUCAUGAUGUGAAGACCUAUUACUUCCAUAUGCUUUCAUCCUUUGCACAGGGAAAAAAUGGGGGCAAGAACGGAUGAGUUUGGAGAUAAUUUUGUCUUUUCCCCAUAGGAUUUUCUAGGAAAAGGAGAGAUUUCAGUUCAUUUAAAUGCUGUUAUUAGUUUGGCGCUUCCAAAGCAUAGAGACACAGUAAUGGUUUUGCACUCUUCAAGUAAAUUAAGGCAAUGGCAUUUAACAGGUGUUUCAGGAGCAUCCUGGGCUGUUUGUCCCAGAAGUUUUCAAGGUAAAAUUGAACUUAUUUACUCGUUGACUUAAUCUUUUGAUGAAAAUGCAGCAUUCUGCACUUUCCUGUGACUCCAGAAGUUAGUAACUGCAUUUUUCUGUUAGGGAUAUCCAAAGAAAUAGUUAAUGUCUGUUCCUGCAUAUGGUACUGUUAAUUUGCUUGUUUGUGUGUCUGUCUGCUCUUUGCUUGUCUGUUUCUGUGUGUGAUAUUUUAUUGGAGCACACGAUUUGAAGAAGCUGGCUGCCUGCUGUGGUAUUUAUCCUAUAUAAAUUCCCCAUUAAUGACAAAUUUUAGACCCAUCAGAGACAGAAGACUAAGUCCAUCCAUUGAAAUCCUAUUUGUAUUAUUACUUCCUAAUGAAUUCUGUAUUACAGCAGGUGUCAAAUCGUAUCUGUUGUUUUGCAAUCGAGUAUGAAUAGAAGAUGUAUUGCUAUUGCAAAUGAAUCUAAUAUGAAUCUAAUGAGCAGUAAUGAGCAACUGUUUUGUCAUUAUUGAGGCAACCACUGUGAUGCUAAUAAACUCUCGUUUCUGCUACUUAGAAAAAAGCACUGACCAGGAUUUAUAUCGUGGCCUUAAUGUCCCAAAAGCCUGAGGCAAAAGAGAAGAGUGGAACCCCUAAACUGAGCAUAAUUCAGUAAUUUUUUGUGUGGCAGACUUCUUAUUUUCUCUUAUUAAAUGAAACCUGGUUUAAGGCUUUCAAGCUUUCUUACAUUUGAAAGGAAAAAAAAGAUGAAAAAUGCGUGUCUAUUAAAGAGACAUAAAGUUAAGAAGAUGGAAAUUCUGCCUUAAUUUUCUUUAACAUACGUACACUAAUUCCAUACUUGUACACUUGUCAGUGCUUUUGUAAUGCUGAGGUGACUGUGUGCAAAGUUUUAAAAGCAGUCACUUUAAAAGUAACAAGCCAUUAAAUCAAUAUAUAACUAUAAUAUGUUUUGGGGGGGAACUGUCUCAACUCUAUUUUAGUUGGAACUUCAUUUUUAGUUUUUUUUAAAUUUAUUUUCAUUGUGUGUGGAUCAUAGGA